rnacentral:rRNA from 1 species
CCUACGGGGGGCAGCAGUGAGGAAUAUUGGACAAUGGACGCAAGUCUGAACCAGCCAUGCCGCGUGCAGGAAGACGGCUCUAUGAGUUGUAAACUGCUUUUGUACGAGGGUAAACGCAGAUACGCGUAUCUGUCUGAAAGUAUCGUACGAAUAAGGAUCGGCUAACUCCGUGCCAGCAGCCGCGGUAAUACGGAGGAUUCAAGCGUUAUCCGGAUUUAUUGGGUUUAAAGGGUGCGUAGGCGGUCGGAUAAGUUAGAGGUGAAAUCCCGAGGCUCAACUUCGGAAUUGCCUCUGAUACUGUUAGGCUAGAGAGUAGUAGCGGUAGGCGGAAUGUAUGGUGUAGCGGUGAAAUGCUUAGAGAUCAGACAGAACACCGAUUGCGAAGGCAGCUUACCAAGCUACUUCUGACGUUGAGGCACGAAAGCGUGGGGAGCAAACAGGAUUAGAUACCCUAGUAGUC